UACAGAGGUCUCAAGCGUGUUCGGAUUCAUUGGGCGUAAAGGGUGCGUAGGCGGCGCGGUAAGUCGGGGUGUGAAAUCUCGGAGCUUAACUCCGAAACUGCAUUCGAUACUGCCGUGCUUGAGGACUGGAGAGGAGACUGGAAUUUACGGUGUAGCGGUGGAAAUGCGUAGAUAUCGUAAGGAAGACCGUGGCGAAGGCGGGUCUCUGGACAGUUC
rnacentral:rRNA from 1 species